AGUGUAUAAGGUUCAUUAGAACACCAAAGCCCCUAACUAGUGCCAUAGUUAAGGGCUUUUUUGACGUAUCUUAGCGAUUUAAUGGGUGUUUAUAGGCUAGUCAGUCGGUCUACUUCUUACCAUCUAGCCAUUUGCAGACGAAAUACAAGAUAAUUCCAGCUAUAACAUCUGCUAUAAUAGUAAGAGCAAGCUCUGGUAUAAGGCUCAUUAGUUUCACCUCCUCUCACGAACCCAUAGGAACGUAAUCGGUAACCGAUGACAAAAAUAGUAUACCACACUAAAUUUAGAUCAUCAACCUCACUUAAUACUUGAACUAUUGUAGAUUAUAUGCUAAAAUGUAGUUAAUUGAUAAGGUUCAUUAGAACACCAAAGCCCCUAACUAUGGCCGUAGUUAAGGGCUUUUUU
rnacentral:sRNA from 1 species